CAGCAGCCGCCACGGUAAUACAGAGGGUGCGAGCGUUAAUCGGAUUUACUGGGCGUAAAGCGUGCGUAGGCGGCUUUUUAAGUCGGAUGUGAAAUCCCUGAGCUUAACUUAGGAAUUGCAUUCGAUACUGGGAAUCUAGAGUAUGGGAGAGGAUGGUAGAAUUCCAGGUGUAGCGGUGAAAUGCGUAGAGAUCUGGAGGAAUACCGAUGGCGAAGGCAGCCAUCUGGCCUAAUACUGACGCUGAGGUACGAAAGCAUGGGGAGCAAACAGGAUUAGAUACCCGAGUAGUCCCUGUCUCUUAUAC
rnacentral:rRNA from 1 species